GCGCAGGUGACGGAAUUGGUAGACGUCUGGCGUUGAGGGCGCCAGGUCCCGCUCGGGGCGUGAGGGUUCGAGUCCCUCCCUGCGCA
rnacentral:tRNA from 1 species